rnacentral:misc_RNA from 1 species
UACGAAGGUGGCGAGCGUUGUUCGGAAUUAUUGGGCGUAAAGAGCUCGUAGGCGGUUUGUCGCGUCUGCUGUGAAAGCCCGGGGCUCAACCCCGGGUCUGCAGUGGGUACGGGCAGACUAGAGUGCAGUAGGGGAGACUGGAAUUCCUGGUGUAGCGGUGAAAUGCGCAGAUAUCAGGAGGAACACCGAUGGCGAAGGCAGGUCUCUGGGCAUUAACUGACGCUGAGGAGCGAAAGCAUGGGGAGCGAACAGG